GCGUGCGGCCGUAGCAGCCUGAGAACGCCCGAUCUCGUCUGAUCUGGGCAGCAGAGCAGGCUCGGGCCCGGUUAGUACUUGGAUGGGAGAGCGCCUGGGAAUACCGGGUGCUGUAGGCA
ensembl:rRNA 5S_rRNA 5S ribosomal RNA